rnacentral:rRNA from 1 species
UACGGAGGGUGCAAGCGUUAUCCGGAUUCACUGGGUUUAAAGGGUGCGUAGGAGGGCAGGUGAGUCAGAGGUGAAAUCUCCGAGCUUAACUCGGAAACUGCCUUUGAUACUAUCUGUCUUGAAUAUUGCGGAGGUGAGCGGAAUAUGUCAUGUAGCGGUGAAAUGCUUAGAUAUGACAUAGAACACCAAUUGCGAAGGCAGCUCGCUACACAUAUAUUGACUCUGAGGCACGAAAGCGUGGGGAUCAAACAGG